rnacentral:rRNA from 1 species
AAUACGGAGAGUUUGAUCCUGGCUCAGGAUGAACGCUGGCGGCGUGCCUAACACAUGCAAGUCGAACGGGAAUCAUUUUUUCGGAAAUGAGGAGAGUGGCGAACGGGUGAGUAACACGUAGCUAAUCUGCCCUCAAGACUGGGAUAACGGUCGGAAACGAUCGCUAAUACCGGAUAAGCUCACGAAGAGUAAGUAUUUGUGAGAAAAGCUGAGGCGCUUGAGGAUGAGGCUGCGACCCAUCAGCUAGUUGGUGAGGUAAGAGCUUACCAAGGCGACGACGGGUAGGGGACCUGAGAGGGUGGCCCCCCACACUGGGACUGAGACACGGCCCAGACUCCUACGGGAGGCAGCAGUGAGGAAUAUUGCGCAAUGGACGAAAGUCUGACGCAGCGACGCCGCGUGGGUGAAGAAGGUUUUCGGAUCGUAAAGCCCUUUUCUGUGUGACGAGAGAGGACGGUAGCACAGGAAUAAGUGUCGGCUAACUACGUGCCAGCAGCCGCGGUAAAACGUAGGACGCAAGCGUUAUCCGGAGUUACUGGGCGUAAAGCGCGCGCAGGUGGACUAUUAAGUUAGCCAUGAAAGCUCCCGGCUAAACUGGGAGAGGCUGGUUGAUACUGGUAGUCUUGAGUGAGUGAGAGGGAAGUGGAAUUCCGCGUGUAGUGGUGAAAUGCGUAGAGAUGCGGAGGAACACCAGAGGCGAAGGCGGCUUCCUGGCACUUGACUGACACUGAGGCGCGAAAGCAUGGGUAGCGAACGGGAUUAGAAACCCCGGUAGUCCAUGCCGUAAACGAUGUUCACUAGUCGUUCGGAGUCCUACGGGGCUUUGGGUGACGAAGCAAACGCGAUAAGUGAACCGCCUGGGGAGUACGGUCGCAAGGCUAAAACUCAAAGGAAUUGACGGGGGCCCGCACAAGCAGCGGAGCGUGUGGUUUAAUUCGAGGCUACGCGAAGAACCUUACCUGGGCUUGACAUCCUGCGAAUGAACCAGAGAUGGGGAAGUCCCUUCGGGGCGCAGAGACAGGUGCUGCAUGGCUGUCGUCAGCUCGUGCCGUGAGGUGUUCGGUUAAGUCCGCAAACGAGCGCAACCCUUAUUGCUAGUUACAAGUGUCUAGCGAGACUGCCCGUGGUAAACGGGAGGAAGGUGGGGAUGACGUCAAGUCAGCAUGGCCUUUAUGUCCAGGGCUACACACACGCUACAAUGGUCGGUACAAUGGGUCGCGAAGCCGCGAGGUGGAGCCAAUCCUGAAAGCCGAUCUCAGUUCGGAUUACAGGCUGCAACUCGCCUGUAUGAAGUCGGAGUUGCUAGUAACCGCGCAUCAGCACGGUGCGGUGAAUACGUUCCCGGGCCUUGUACACACCGCCCGUCACGUCAUGGGAGCUGGUUACGCCUGAAGUCGGGAAGCUAACCUAACGGGGGCUACCGCCGAGGGCAGGACUGGUGACUGGGACGAAGUCGUAACAAGGUAGCUGUAGCGGAAGCUGCGGCUGGAUCACCUCCUUU